ensembl:misc_RNA
UAGAGGCUGAGGAGACAGGAAUGGAGCCAAGGUGGCAGAGGUGGGAGGCGGGAGGGAAACCCA